AGAGUUUGAUCCUGGCUCAGGAUGAACGCUGGCGGCAUGCCUAAUACAUGCAAGUCGAACGAAGUUUCGAGGAAGCUUGCUUCCAAAGAGACUUAGUGGCGAACGGGUGAGUAACACGUAGGUAACCUGCCCAUGUGUCCGGGAUAACUGCUGGAAACGGUAGCUAAAACCGGAUAGGUAUACAGAGCGCAUGCUCAGUAUAUUAAAGCGCCCAUCAAGGCGUGAACAUGGAUGGACCUGCGGCGCAUUAGCUAGUUGGUGAGGUAACGGCCCACCAAGGCGAUGAUGCGUAGCCGACCUGAGAGGGUGACCGGCCACAUUGGGACUGAGACACGGCCCAAACUCCUACGGGAGGCAGCAGUAGGGAAUUUUCGUCAAUGGGGGAAACCCUGAACGAGCAAUGCCGCGUGAGUGAAGAAGGUCUUCGGAUCGUAAAGCUCUGUUGUAAGUGAAGAACGGCUCAUAGAGGAAAUGCUAUGGGAGUGACGGUAGCUUACCAGAAAGCCACGGCUAACUACGUGCCAGCAGCCGCGGUAAUACGUAGGUGGCAAGCGUUAUCCGGAAUCAUUGGGCGUAAAGGGUGCGUAGGUGGCGUACUAAGUCUGUAGUAAAAGGCAAUGGCUCAACCAUUGUAAGCUAUGGAAACUGGUAUGCUGGAGUGCAGAAGAGGGCGAUGGAAUUCCAUGUGUAGCGGUAAAAUGCGUAGAUAUAUGGAGGAACACCAGUGGCGAAGGCGGUCGCCUGGUCUGUAACUGACACUGAGGCACGAAAGCGUGGGGAGCAAAUAGGAUUAGAUACCCUAGUAGUCCACGCCGUAAACGAUGAGAACUAAGUGUUGGAGGAAUUCAGUGCUGCAGUUAACGCAAUAAGUUCUCCGCCUGGGGAGUAUGCACGCAAGUGUGAAACUCAAAGGAAUUGACGGGGGCCCGCACAAGCGGUGGAG
rnacentral:rRNA from 1 species